rnacentral:rRNA from 1 species
UGGCCCUUGGGGAAAGGCUUGUCUGCCGAAGGAUCGGCCCGCGUCUGAUUAGCUAGUUGGUGGGGUAAUGGCCUACCAAGGCGACGAUCAGUAGCUGGUCUGAGAGGAUGAUCAGCCACACUGGGACUGAGACACGGCCCAGACUCCUACGGGAGGCAGCAGUGGGGAAUAUUGGACAAUGGGCGCAAGCCUGAUCCAGCCAUGCCGCGUGAGUGAUGAAGGCCUUAGGGUUGUAAAGCUCUUUUGUCCGGGACGAUAAUGACGGUACCGGAAGAAUAAGCCCCGGCUAACUUCGUGCCAGCAGCCGCGGUAAUACGAAGGGGGCUAGCGUUGCUCGGAAUCACUGGGCGUAAAGGGCGCGUAGGCGGCCAUUCAAGUCGGGGGUGAAAGCCUGUGGCUCAACCACAGAAUUGCCUUCGAUACUGUUUGGCUUGAGUUUGGUAGAGGUUGGUGGAACUGCGAGUGUAGAGGUGAAAUUCGUAGAU